UAUCAAAACAAAAGCAAGAAUAGCGAUUUCCGUUUCUCUCAAAAAAUGCGGAAAUCGCUUAUUUUUUUU
rnacentral:misc_RNA from 1 species